GACGAACGCUGGCGGCGUGCCUAACACAUGCAAGUAGAACGCUGAAGGAGGAGCUUGCUCUUCUGGAUGAGUUGCGAACGGGUGAGUAACGCGUAGGUAACCUGCCUGGUAGCGGGGGAUAACUAUUGGAAACGAUAGCUAAUACCGCAUAAUAGUAGAUGUUGCAUGAUAUUUACUUAAAAGGUGCAAUUGCAUCACUACCAGAUGGACCUGCGUUGUAUUAGCUAGUUGGUGGGGUAACGGCUCACCAAGGCGACGAUACAUAGCCGACCUGAGAGGGUGAUCGGCCACACUGGGACUGAGACACGGCCCAGACUCCUACGGGAGGCAGCAGUAGGGAAUCUUCGGCAAUGGACGAAAGUCUGACCGAGCAACGCCGCGUGAGUGAAGAAGGUUUUCGGAUCGUAAAGCUCUGUUGUAAGAGAAGAACGAGUGUGAGAGUGGAAAGUUCACACUGUGACGGUAUCUUACCAGAAAGGGACGGCUAACUACGUGCCAGCAGCCGCGGUAAUACGUAGGUCCCGAGCGUUGUCCGGAUUUAUUGGGCGUAAAGCGAGCGCAGGCGGUUAGAUAAGUCUGAAGUUAAAGGCUGUGGCUUAACCAUAGUACGCUUUGGAAACUGUUUAACUUGAGUGCAAGAGGGGAGAGUGGAAUUCCAUGUGUAGCGGUGAAAUGCGUAGAUAUAUGGAGGAACACCGGUGGCGAAAGCGGCUCUCUGGCUUGUAACUGACGCUGAGGCUCGAAAGCGUGGGGAGCAAACAGG
rnacentral:rRNA from 1 species